rnacentral:rRNA from 1 species
GCGCUGGCAACCAGACUUGCGCGCGGCGGUUCCCCCUUCCUUUUGGUUGGGUUACUCCGCCGUGUCCAGGCCAAUAUCGGUUUUGGGGGUCGGUCAAAGGCGCUGGGAAUGUACCUACCCUUCGGGCGUAGACUUAUAGCCCAGCGUGUCAUGCGACCUCCCGGGACCGAGGAACGCGCUUCGGCUCGGAUAUUGGCGUAAUGGUUGUCAGCGACCCGUCUUGAAACACGGACCAAGGAGUC